rnacentral:lncRNA from 1 species
GUUUCUUGAUGCAAAGUAUUAAACUGUUAAGAUUUAUCCUGCAGGCUUGUUAGAUGCUGGAUACGCGAAAAGCCAACAACAUCAAGAACUGCAACUCCAAGACCAGCUUUGCGUUAAUUCAGUCAGCUGUAAUAAUGAUGCAAAUGACACUAUAUCAAGCUGGACUUAGAGACUAGUCAGAUAAAUCAUCCAUUUCAUCAACGGUUAAUGUCAUGAUGGUGGCUAUCAGAGGAAACAAAAGAUGUGUCGGAAUCUAUACAAACAUUGAGAAGCAUGAGAGGAGCUUUGAUUUUGAGUAGGGUCAAUGAACUCAUAUUGGUAAGUGGUAAUUAAAGAAACUUUGUAAGCUUAGUAGAGUUUCAGUAUUUUCUGUUUGGAGUAUAGUUGAUAAGUUGACUCUGUUUAAGAAGCCCGAUUAUAGUAGCUGACUGUAUUAACCUUUUUUUUUUUUUUUUGGGUCUGCUGUUGUUUUUGGUUUCGAUUAUUUUUUCAACAUUGGGUUGAUCUGUUGAAGAACAAGCUUGGGUUUGAUUAUGCUUUAACUACAAGGAAGAGCCAGACUUGGAUGCAGGCGUUAAGCUUUUAAUGGGUAAGAACAAAUGAAUGCUUUAACUAUGUUUCUCACUUAUUAAAAUGCACGGAUUGAAGGCAUCUGGGUUGAUCCUGACAAUGUGAUGGAAAUACUUCUCUGUUUUCAUAUAACAGGACAAAUAGAGAUCUCUGAUCAUGCCUGAAUUUUUGUUGCAUUGAAAUUUCUACCAUUAUCAAACAUAGAAUGAACUAGGGAUACAUUAGCUUAAGACUAAAUUUUGAGAAGGAAGUUUGUACUUGCAGCCUAUAAAAUCAUGUCCAUGUUGUACGUUUCUUUGGGAAAUGAAAGAUUCUGUGUGUUCUUUUAUUUCAAGUUCACUGAAAUCACAUUUGUUUUCUCAGCUGCUUUCCAGAAGGUAACAACAUCAAUUUCAAAAAUGCUGGGGCAAGAUGUAUCAUGCAGUGCAACUCAACUUGAGAAUUCCUGGCCACAUUACCCGUAUGUCUAAUGAUCGCACAGUACAACCUUGAGAAGCUUGUAAUGAGUACACAACUGGGUGCAAGUAGUUUUGAAAUGAAUUUGCCUCAAAUGAUUUCUUGCCGGUGAUUAAUAUAACCUCUAUUCCAAAAUUCUUGGAACUGGUCAUACUAGCAAUGAAGGAUUGCAUACAUUGAAGACAUAGCUGAAGGCCUUGCGAGAGCUCUGUCAGCCCUUGUACCGGAAAACAGCUGGUCGUAGUCGCUUGUGAAUGAUAUGAUUAAUAGAUACUGCAAAAAUGAAUUGUGCCAUACAUUUUCAGCGCUCUGUGAAGAUGUCUUGGUCAUUUGUUUGAUGCUUGUUUGAUUUAUGUUGUAUUCAGCCAUAAAUCAGAGAUUCAGAACUUGGGUAUGUUUCUGGUUUCCAAAUCAAAAAAUUGCCUUGUGAUGUUAGUGUUCACUGUUUUCACAGGAGAUCAGGUUCCUUGUUAAUGAAUCAAGAAGAAGGCAAGCGCAUCCAUGUCCAAGUUCAAAUGUGUCUCCUCUAUUUUCUAUUACCCACUCAUUUAUUUUGAUUUCUUCAUUGUAAUUGAAUUAGUUUUUUAUUCCAAAUUAGUCAAAACCUCGUAGAGUCAUUAAGUUCUUUUAGCAUUUAAAGACAGAACUACGAACCAAAUGAUUUAAGUUCUUCGUUGUAAUUGAAUUUGCUUUCCCAUCUUUAAAGAUAUUAUGUUCUUUUUCACUUUUUCGAUUUGGUUAGUGGUGAUUUCUUAAAGACUCAAUCCAUUUGCGUUAAUACAUUUUUCUUUUGCCUUGAUUUCUGUUUCUUGGGGAGUUUAUACAUAUUCUUAUUUUAUGCUACACAUGCCAUAUACAGAUUCUUAUUUUAUGCUUCACAUGCCACAUGAAAGGUCAAAGCCUUGUGUGUGAUUAGAAUUUACUGGCAUCAUAGUAACUUUAAACCAUUGUGACGUUUUAGUAAUAACAGUCUGAGCUCUCCCUGAAGGAUUCAAAGCAUUUUAUUUUAUAUUAUACUCCUUUAUAUGGUUUGGCUGGUCUCUUUUAAGGCAAUUCCUGUUUAAAGUAAUCAAAAUUUUGAUUUCGAAGUGUCUUUCAACACUACCGCUAGUUCUUUAAGAAAAGUAAAUCGAUUUUGAGUCUUCUGUAUCAUCUGAUUGAAAUACAUGAAAGCACUCUUAGCUGCAAAAGUACACUUGGAGUUAUAAUAGCAUUCUGAAAUCUCCUUGAAGGAUUCAAAAGCUCUUUAUUUGCUAGUCUUUGCUUGCAAUAAACUCCUUUAAUAUAGAUUGGUUGAUCUUCUUUAAAGCAAUUACCAUAAGUUCUUUAAAUAAUAAAACGACUUUGAGUCUUAUGUAUCAUCUUGUUGAAAUACAUGAAAGCACUCUUGGCUGUAAAAAUGCACUUGGGGUUAUAUAUAAAGUCUUCAACAGAAUUUUAUUUCCCCCUUUAUCCUCAUGGUGGUCUUUUUAGUUGUUUUUUAAGAAAUCGCUUGAAGGUUCUCUUUAAAAAUAAUUUUAACAUAAGCAUUCUUUAGAAGCACUUUAGAUGUCUGGCAUUUAGAAAAUUUUGUUCCUGUGUUCACAUAAUAUAAUAUAUAUAUAUAGAAAGCUGACUGUAGAAUAGAGGAGAACGAGUUGGUGUUGGUCUGAACUCUGAUCUUUGAAUCUCAUGUGACUCCACUACUUUUUACUUGUUCUGUACAAGGUCUUUUAGCUUUUCAAAAAGUUUUAGCUUUAUGGAUAAAAUACUGUUAAUUGUAAUCUAUAAAUAAUGAAAGGAAUUAAUAAAAUAUUUGGUAAAUUUUAUUUUCUAAAGUGUUAUGAGUUCUAAAACGGCUGUAUGUAUAUAAAUUUAUUUACACAUAUAUUUAUAAAUAUGAUUAUAUAAUAAUAUUUUAUGUGUACAUAUCAUAAUUGAUAACUAAAAUAAAUAUUUUUAUUUUAUUAAUGGUUUUUCCGUCUCAAUGUAGUUGGUAAUAAUAAUCUCUUUAGAUGUAACGAUUUUAUUUCCUAACUGAAUAAGGAAAAUUUUAGAUUUUUAUAAUAAAUGUUAAAUAUAUAUAGAAUUACAUUAAGUAUGAAAUAAUCCUCAAAAUUAGAUUUGAAAAGUUAUUCUUUUCUUGCUUUUAAAAAUAUGUCAUAUGAUGAGAUAAUUUUACUAAAAGUGAUUUUUUUUUAAAAAAAUUACUAAACAUCAAAAUUAACUCUUAACUUUUUAAAAUCAUUUCUAAUCUUCUCAUCCUAAGUUCUUUAUUGUUUUGUACAAAAUCCAAGGUUUUGACUUUUAUAAAAUGCCCACUCAAAAAUAAAUUAUUUUCUAAUUAAGAUUUGUUGUUAAUGUAUAACUCGAAGUAAUAUUAGAUAUUUGUAAUUUUAUUUCAAAAAUUUUAUUCAAAUGAUAUGGCAAGCAAUGAACAAUAGUUGAUAGCAAUUUUUUUUUUUUAACAAUGUUCAAAUCAAUCAGUUGCAUUAUCUCACCAUUUUUAUGAUGUCAUGUUAUUUUAAAUGAUUUUUUUAAUUUUUAUAUAAAACAUACGACGUGUUAACAUCAUUUGCAUAACUUGACCUUUUUUUUUUUCCUACAAAUAGUGUUUAAAAUUCAACACACAGAUGUGCCUCUUUCUUACUAUACUGGAAUCCUCGGUAAACUUUUUGUUUGCGCAAUUUAUGUGAGCAAAUUGUGUCUUCUUUUUCAUAUGUAAAUGUUUUUGAUAUCUUGAUGUGAAGGUAGAAAAUUGCAUGUUUUGAGUUUUUGCAUAUUUGAUGGAAACACAGAACCGUACCUGAAUAUUUCAGAACCCCCUUUUCUUUGAAGUUUGAACACUUUUCUUGAAUGUAUCAACUUUAUUUAUGGGAUAUGUUGCCAAAUUGGCAAAUCUAUUCGUUAUAAAACUUUCCUUUGACAGUUUAAUCUAAGCAGAUGUUAAUUCUGCAAAUAGAGUGUGCCUUAGAUUAGUUUCAUAGAUUUGUCUCCUUCUGUACAGUAAAAACUUUGAGCAUUUUCGCCAUAUUCUGAUCAAUACACUCCAACUAGUUAGUUCUUGAGGCGUUUUAUGGUUUCGUGGAGUGAGGCAAGAUGUAUACGUUUGCAAAUUGGCAAUGUCUUUUGCUUGAUGGGUUGAGAGUUGUGAGUGUCAACAGGAAACAAGACCUCUGUUUUAUGAACUCCAAAAAGUUAUUCUGUUAGAAAGAUCGAGACAGAGGCCAUACUAUAUUUAUUAUUGCUAUAAAAGUGUGAAAAAAUAUUCUUUAUUUAAUAUUCUAAACGAUUGAGCCAUUUAGUUAUGAUAUUCUGCUGUAUUGGGGCUAAUAAUCUAAGUCGGUUCAAAGUGGUAAAUUUAUAAAUUGAUAGGUAUGCCUGGUAUGACCGCUUACGUUGGAUUUUAUGAGGUCUGCUCUCCUAAGCAUGGAGAGUGUGUCUUCAUAUCAGCAGCAUCUGGUGCAGUUGGUCAGCUUGUGGGGCAGUUUGCAAAGUUAUUGGGCUGCUAUGUCGUCGGAAGUGCUGGAAGCAAAGACAAGGUAGGUUAUCUGUGUGAAGUACUUGAUUGUUUCCGUGUUACUUUCAAACAUUUAAAUUAAAAAGGAAAUUUUCAUAAUCUUGCCUUUUCUAUGAUUUUCAAAACCAAGGUUGAUCUACUGAAGAACAAGUUUGGGUUCGACGAGGCAUUUAACUAUAAAGAAGAAGCUGAUUUGAAUGCAGCAUUGAAAAGGUUAGCAUCAAUAAAUGCCUUAGCUUGAUGCAGCUUGAUGAAGUAUGAUACACAUUUCUGACCAAUAUACUGCGUUCCCUGAUCUCUUACUUGAAAUAUCUUGGUUUGAGAAUCUCAUGCCAAUGCCUUUAACAUUUUGGCAGGUACUUUCCUGAAGGAAUUGAUAUAUAUUUUGAAAACGUUGGUGGAAAAACGCUUGAUGCAGUGCUACCCAACAUGAAAAUCCGUGGUCGAAUUGCUGCAUGCGGUAUGAUCUCACAGUACAAUCUUGACAAGCCUGAAGGUGUGCACAACUUGAUGUAUCUUGUUUCGAAACGGCUUCGAAUGGAAGGAUUCAUUGUUCUCGAUCACUAUCACCUCUAUCCAAAGUUUCUGGAAAUGAUCAUUCCUCACAUCAAAGAAGGGAAGCUUGUAUACGUCGAAGACAUGGCUGAAGGUCUUGAGAGUGCUCCGGCAGCUCUCAUCGGUCUAUUCUCUGGCCAGAAUGUUGGGAAACAGGUGGUUGCUGUUGCUCCUGAAUGAAGAACAAGUUAGUGUUGCAGUUUGAAUGAUGCUGCUGCACAACUGCUGCCGAAAAAAUCCUUAAUAGAUGAUUAGCAAGGUUUCAAAAAUAAAAAGAAAUGUUUGUGCAACGUGCCGAAUAUGACAGCCACAAAGAAAGAGCAUACAAAUUGAUUGGUUUUAUGUCUUCUCUAGGAGAAAGCUACAAUACAAGAAAUUGUAUUGAUGGAGCCAUGGACCAAAUUUCUUAUUUAAACUUUUAAUUUUUUUUAUUAAAAUUACUUAUGUUAUUAUGGUUUAUAUUUUUAGAAAUUCUUUAGAAAUUAAUACAGAACUAGUAGCAAGUUGAGAAAUCUACUGAAUAGUCGAGAUAUGAUCAUGUUUAUUGAAUUAAAUUGACAAUCAUCAUUUUGAUAAAUUAUUGUUAGGAUAUUUGAUUCAUCACAGGUGUAAGUAACUAAAUGUGCUAAAAAAAAAGUUAAUGAGUUGUGAGUGUUUGAUAUUCGUUUGUUGUAAUUCUUUUAAUAAUUGUUGUGGGAAAAAAAUUAUGGUAAAAAAAUUAUAAUUAUAAAAUAAAAAUUAAUAAUAUAUUAUAAAUAAAAUUUUUAAAUAAUAAUUUUAAUAAAAUAAUAAAUAUAUUAUGAAUUUUUCAUUAUAAAUUUUUAAGUUAAAAUAAUAAAUAUUUAUUAAAUAUUUUAAUAGCACAACUUUUAAAUUAUAACAGUACAAUGUAAAUACCAGAGGUCUUAAAAAAUAAAAUUACAGUCAAGUUUUAAAACUGUUAAUAAUGCUAUUCAUAAAGGCGCUCGUCGUGUAAACAACACAUGGGACCCAACCAAUAAAUGUUUAUGAUCCUCAACUUUCCUCCUCACCGUCCCUGCAAACAAUUCUGAUCUUCUUGUCUGAGAAAAAAACUGAGAAACAAUGGCGGCCGAACAAGAAGCUGUGAGCAAUAAGCGGGUGAUUCUAAGCAACUAUGUGACAGGUUUUCCAAAAGAAUCGGACAUGAAGAUAACAUGUGGAUCAAUAAAACUGGAGGUAGCAGACGGUUUAAAAGACACGGUGCUUUUGAAGAAUCUUUAUAUUUCUUGUGAUCCUUACAUGCGAGAGCGUAUGAGCAAGCUUGAUAGACCUUCUUUUGUUGAUUCAUUCCAUCCUGGUGAGGUUAGUUCAUCACGACCCAUCUCUUGAUUUUUUUUUUUUUUUCAUUUGCUUCAAGUUUUGAUGAGUUUCUGAGGUCAUUUGUACGGUUUUGGAAUGUGAACACUAUUAGUGAUUUUGGGGCUGUAACUGUCAUUAAUGAUAUGUAGUAAUUCAAUCAGAAUUUGGAUUUAGUGCUGAUAUGAUCUCUGCUCAUUUUUUAAAAUCUUGUGUCCAGAUGCAUUUUUAUAAUCUUGUACGGUUGAGAUUGUAUGUAGAUUAAUCUACGUGCAGUAUUCUUGUCUAAUGACUACUAACCACAACCUUAUGAGACGAUCGAAACCAAGCUCAGAUCAAUAAUCCAAUUGAGAGAGGGUCCUAACUCAAGCUUAUCGUGUGUAGGAAUAUUUCGGUUAAAUUGUAAUUCUUUUAAUAAUUGUUGUGAAAAAAAAAAGUUAUGAUAAAAAAAUUAAUAAUUAUAAAAUAAAAAUUAAUUAUAUAUAAUAAAUAAGAUUUUUAAAUAAUAAUUUUAAUAAAAUAUAAUAAAUACAUUAUCAAUUUUUCAUCGUUAAUUUUUAAGUCACAACCACAAAUAUUUACUAAACACUUUAACACCAUAAUUAACACCACAACUAUUGAAUUAUAACUGUACAAUCUAGACGCCAAGAGGCCUUAGUAUGAAAAAAAAAAAUUACAGUUAAGUUAAAAUUCAUCAUACAGAUGUGCCACUUUCAUACUAUACCGGGAUCCUCGGUAAUGAUUUUUGUUACACAAUAAGAUUUGCUUAUAGUAAUAUCAAUACAUAUGCUGCUUAAAUGCUUUCUGAUUUUUUGCCGGCCAUUGUCCAUUUUGCCAGGGAGUCUAUAAUUGAAGGAAUUUACUGAAGGAAUGCUGAUUGUUGGGAAUUUGAUUAUUCUAGGUAUGCCUGGUGUAACUGCAUACGCUGGUUUAUACGAAGUUUGCUUUCCGAAGAAAGGAGAGUAUGUCUAUGUAUCUGCAGCAUCUGGAGCUGUUGGUCAGCUUGUUGGACAGUUUGCAAAAUUAGCUCGUUGCUAUGUUGUUGGAAGUGCAGGAAGCAAAGAAAAUAUAGCACCGUGCCUUCUAGCAGAAUUUUACUUGCUUUAUGUUCCAACUAAGCAUCCAUAUUUGAUCAUGAUAAUUAGCAAGGUCAAUAAUUUUUUUUUGACUAUUUUUUCAACGUAAGGUCGAUUUGUUGAAGAACAAGUUUGAACGAUGCUUUUAACUACAAGGAAGAGCCUGAUUUUGAUGCAGCACUCAAAAGGUCAGCUGCAACAAACGUUUCAACUCUAAUAUUUCAUUUUAAUAUUACAGAGCUUUGGUUGAAGUGUGUGAGUUGAUCCCAGAAACGUAACUUCAUCAGUGUCUCUGUUUUCAAAAAACAUGACAAAUAGAAAUCUGAUUUUGCUUUAAAAUUUCCCAGAUGCUUCCCUCAAGGAAUCGACAUAUAUUUCGAAAAUGUUGGGGGAAAGAUGCUGGACGCAGUGCUACUCAACAUGAGGCUCCGGGGCCGCAUUGCAGUAAGCAGUAUGAUCUCACAGUAUAACCUGGAAAAACCCGAAGGCGUACACAACUUAGAGCAACUGAUCGGGAAACGGAUUCGCCUGGAAGGAUUUCUAGCUGGUGAUUACUAUCACCUCUAUCUGAAAUUCUUGGAACUGGUCAUUCCUCCAAUCAGAGAAGGAAAGAUGCUGUAUGUGGAAGACAUGGCCGAAGGACUCGAGAAAAUUUCUCGUAACUGCUACACAUUAAACGCGUUUCACAUUUCCACUCUCUUUCUAUAAAUAAAUACGCACAUAAAAUUUCUCACCAUCCAAAAACAAAAUCUACAUAAAAAAUGGCGGGUGAAGAAGCAGUGAGCAACAAGCAGGUGAUUCUGAGCAACUACGUGACAGGGUUUCCCAAGGAAUCAGACAUGAAGAUAAUAACAGGCUCAAUAAACCUUAAGGUGCCAGAGGGUUCAAAAGACACAAUGCUUUUGAAGAAUCUUUAUCUUUCCUGUGAUCCUUACAUGAGAGGACGUAUGAGCGAGCUUGAUAAGCCUUCGUUUGUUGCCUCAUUCGAGUCUGGCGAGGUCAGUUACUUCAAUUCCCAUCUCUUGGUUUCAUAAUCUUUUAUGGUUUUAGAAGGUGUUUUAGGGAAACAUUGUGGUUUUGGUUAGUGGGCAUGAGUCUUUGAAGAGAUUAUAAUGUGUAGGACUAUGCAUGCAAUAAUAAGCAUAGGGGAUCUUGUUAGGAGAAGAUUCUCUUAGCAAAAUAAAAACUUUUAUCUUAUCAAAACAUAUGCAGGGAACUUAGUUAUGAUGUCAUGUUAGCAUUGUCUCUGAGGAUUUGAUUUCUUGAUGGGGAAAGGGGAAUUUAAGGUUACAUUAUUCAGCAAUGGUUUUUUUUUUAAAUUAUGUUCAAAUUAUGCAGCCUUUAAGCGGAUAUGGAGUGUCCAAAGUGUUGGAUUCCACGCCUCCAAAUUAUAAGAAAGAUGACUUGGGUGGUGUUUGUUUUUUAACUUAAUGACUUAAAGUGACUUAACUUAAUUAAUUAAGUUAAUUAGAGAUGUUUGUUUUUAUAACUUAAUGUGACUUUUUAAAUAAUUUUGACUUAAUAAAAUAAGCCAAUUUUAUUUACUUUUUACUUAAUAGAGACAUCUGAAUUAAGUCAAGUACUUUCUAAUGUCAAAAAUAUACAUGCUUUAUAAUUUAUUUUUCAUGUCUAUCCCAAAACUCACCCAUAGACAUUUACCCCACAUAAUAAUCUCAUCAUUAUUUUUUUAGCCGUCAUGAAAUCCCUCCUCACUUUGGUAUCAACUCCUCAACUAUUGAAGAUCAAAAUUACAUGCGACAACUUCGAGAUGAAUGGCAAAUCAACUGUUUCAAGCAUCUUAUUAGUUUUUUUUCUUUUUUAUAUUAUAUACGAUAAAAUUUGAAAUUUAUGGUAUUUUAUAUAUUAAAAUUCCAAAAUCAUUAUAUAUUCACUUGAAUAUAGUUUUACUUAUAAAUGUUAAAAUAUUGUGAUAUUUAAUAUAUUGUUUAUUUGACAUUCAAAUUUAAUAAGGAUACAAAUGUAAAAGUACAUAUUUUUCAGUUUUUUAAGUUGAAAAAAGAAAACAACUUAAUAAUUAUUUUUCGAGAUUCAGACGAAAAAACAAACAUAUUAUUCAGAUUCAGACAUUCAGAUCUAUUCAGAAUUUAGACUAAUUCAAGUCUAUUCAGAUUUCAGAUAAAAAAACAAACGCCACCUUGGUCCGGGGCUUAACCAGUUGGGAGGAGUUCAGUCUCAUCCAAUCACCACAACUUCUGAUUAAAAUUCUGGAUACAAGUGUGCCUCUGCCAUAAUUAAUUGACAGGUUGCUAUGUUGUUGGAAGUGCCGGAAGCAAAGAAAAGGUGAGUUUGCACCCUUAACCCUUACGCUCUAAAUAAAAACAUAACACCUUCUGAAAGAAUUGUGCAUAGAGAAUUUUGCAUGUCACAUUAUUUGUGUUCUAACUAAUCAUGGAUAUUUGAUCAUUAGUCUAACUAAAACUGACAUAUUACCACCUAGUUGACUGGUCUUUGAGAAAUGUUAGUUGAUAUAUGCUUGAAAUCAUACUUUGUUUUAUUAGAUGAUUAUAUUAACCUGCUUCUUUUUCUUUGUGCUGUUUCUCGUUUGAUUACAUUUUCAACAUUAGGUCGAUCUAUUGAAGCACAAGUUUGGGUUUGAUGAUGCCUUUAACUAUAAGGAAGAGCCUGACUUGGAUGCAGCUCUUAAUAGGUUAGCACGAAUGAAUGCUUUAACCAUUUUUCUCACUUCAUUAUUACAAUGCGCUGAUUGAAGUAAUCAGUGUUGGCUCUGAAAAUGUAACGUAUACUUCUCUGUUUUCAUAAAACAGGACAAACAGUGAUCAGUGAUCUCAUUCGUUACAUUGAUAUUUUCUACCAUUGCCAUACAUAGUAUAAACUAGGAAUUCAGUUGCUUAAUAGAUAUUCAUUUCAGAGGGAAAUUUUCACUUGCAGCUAACAGAAUCAUGUUUGUGAUGUAUGUUUAUUUGGGAAAUGAAAGGAUUUGUUGCAUUAUUUUAUUCCAAGUUUGCUGAAAUCAUAUUUGUUUUCCCAGGUGCUUUCCUGAAGUUAUCGACAUCUAUUUCGAAAAUUUUGGGGGUAAGAUGCUUGAUGCAGUGCUACUCAACAUGAGAAUUUGUGGCCGCAUCGCUGUAUGCGGAAUGAUCUCACAGUACAACUUUGAGAAGCCUGAAGGUGUACACAACUUGAUGCAAGUAAUUGGAAAACGAAUUCGCAUGGAAGGAUUUCUUGCCAGUGAUUUCUACCACCAAUAUCCAAAAUUCUUGGAACUGGUUAUGCCGGCAAUCAAAGAAGGAAAGUUAGUAUAUGUCGAGGACAUAGCUGAAGGCCUCGAGAAAGCUCCAUCAGCCCUAGUUGGGAUAUUCACAGGUCAAAAUGUUAAAAAACAACUGGUUGUAGUUGCUCGGGAAUGAUAUGAUUACUAUAUGCUUUAAAAAGUGGACUUUGCCAUGCACUUUAAAACCUUAGUGAAGAUGCCUUUGUCUUAUUUUUGAUACAUGUUAUGUUUGUUUGAUCAAGUUGUACUCAGCUAUAAAUCAAAGAUUCAGAACAUGUGUAUGAUACUGGUUUCUAAAUCAAUGAACGCCUUGAAAUGUUAGUGUUUUCACAGGAGAAUGCAAUUUAAUUCAUCAACAAUGUCCCAACAAGACCCUCAGAGCUGUAGCUUGUAAAGUUAAUUACGAUAUUUUUUUGUAAAGUAAAUUACCAUAUUUUUUUCUUUCCAAUAUAUUGCUUAUUUCAUAGAAAGUUUACAUUAAAGUCUCAUGUUUCUUUGAAAGGUAAGCAAGUGUGAACGUUUCAAUCUAGAGAUGGAAAAUGCAUUUCCGGGAACUUACUUGAUAAAUGAAGUUUUCAUCUCUGACCUUGAUGUUUCCCACAGGUGCAUUCAUUUCAGCUGAUCUAUAUAAUUUUGUUUUCGAAGGAGAGACACAAAAUCUCCGUUGUUAAGGGGAGAAUUUAGAGUGGCUUUGACUGUUAACAAAUAGCCUAAUGUAAGACUUAACCAACUUCCUGCCCUGUUGUAUGCUUAUGAAUUUUGAUAGAGCUAAGAGUUUGCAGAAGCUAUUGUAUUAUAUGUCGUUAGAGGCUGUAAACAUCAAACACAUUUAAAUUUCAAUGAAAAUUUACUGGAAGUAAAUUUCCUUUGAUCCCACAGGUGACUAAUUAAUGAGAACUUGACAAUGACAAAAGAAAGUGUAUGAACUUUGCAGGCUGGCAUGCCAAUAUUGACUGGGUGGCACCAUCCACCAUCUGCAAGUGAAUAUCAUUGUUGUUUAAUCAACAAGGUGGAGUCCACUGGGACCACACCACAUCGUCAGCCUUAUCUCUAUUCCUCAAUUUUCAGUAUUCCAUACAUCAAAACAAUUUCAGUUUUGUUAUCAAUUAUAAUUUCAUUGUUGGUGACGAUUCUGAUUCCUUUCUUUCUGACAAAACGGAACCAUGGUUGCUGUGGGAGAGAUCUUACUCAACGCCUUCUUUCAGGUGUUGUUUGACAGGUUGGCUUCCCGUGAUUUGCUCAGCUUUGUCCGUCAACUUGGAGGCGGGGUCGAUUCCGAGCUCAAGAAGUGGCAAAGAAAGCUGAAGAUGAUUCAGGCGGUGCUCAACGAUGCAGAGGAGAAGCAACUGACUGACGAGGCUGUGAAGAUGUGGCUGGACGAUCUCCAAGACUUGGCUUAUGACGCUGAGGACAUUCUUGAUGAGUUUGCUACUCAAGCUUUGGAAAGCAAGUUGAUGGCGCAAAAUCAGGAUAGCUCUGGCCAGCUUCUCAGUUUCAUCCCGGCUAGUUUGAAUCCGAAUGCUGUUAGGUUCAAUUAUAGCAUGAGGUCCAAGAUUAACGAUAUUACUAGCCGGUUGGAGCAACUCUGCAAAUAUAGAAUUGAACUUGGGCUGCAACGGAUUCCUGAAGGGGCAUCAUCAACUGCUGCUGCUGCACACCAGAGGCCACCCAGUUCAAGCGUCCCACCAGAACGUGAAGUUUUUGGUAGAGAAGAAGAUAAGGCCAAAAUUCUUGAUAUGGUAUUGGCCGAUAGCCCAAGUGAUCAUGCCGACUUUGCUGUAAUACCCAUUGUUGGCAUGGGCGGGAUAGGAAAAACAACUCUCGCUCGGGAGGUCUACAAUGACAAGGCCGUUGAACAUUCCAAGUUUGAUGUAAAAGCAUGGGUUUGUGUAUCUGAUGUCUUUGACGUUUUGGGCAUCUCAAAGGCGCUUCUCGAGUCAAUCACCCGCAGGCCAUGUCUUCUAAACAGUUUAAACGAAGUGCAGGUUGAAUUGAAAGUAGCUGUGGAUAAAAAAAGAUUCUUGCUGGUCUUAGAUGAUGUUUGGAACGAGGACUACAGCUUGUGGGUAGACUUAAAAGCUCCGUUCCUGGGUGCUGCACCAAACAGCAAGAUGAUCGUCACCACACGCAAUUCAAGUGUUGCAUCAACAAUGAGACCCAUUGAUCGUCACCACACGCAAUUCAAGUAUUACGAUCUCAAGAGUCUGUUAGAUGAUGAUUGCUGGUCCAUUUUCAUAAACCAUGCAUUUGAAUCUACAGACCUUAGCGCACAUCGAAUUUCAGAAUCAUUCCGCGAGAAAGUUGUUGGCAAGUGUGGGGGCUUGCCUCUGGCAGCAAAAACACUCGGGGGCCUUCUUCGUACUAAAACGCAUGCUGAGUGGGACGGUAUAUUGGAUAGCAAAAUAUGGGAUUUACCUCGGCAAAGCAGCAUUCUCCCCGUGUUAAGAUUGAGUUACCAUCAUCUUCCUUCUCAUUUGAAAAGAUGUUUUGCUUUUUGUGCCAUCUUUCCAAAAGAUUAUGCAUUCACUGAGAGGGAGCUGACUUUCUUAUGGAUGGCUGGAGGUAUUAUUCGACAGUCAAGAAACAAUGAGCAGCUGGAAGAUUUGGGCAGCAAGUGCUUUGGUGAUCUAGUGUCGAGGUCAAUUUUUCAACAAACAGCAAUCUCUGAUAGUUCUAAAUUUGUAAUGCAUACUUGAAAUUUCUGUCUUCAAUAUUUUGAUGCUUUCUUAUCCCAUGCACAAAAGUACUAGAAAAAACUAAUAACAGCUAACCGAAAAUCCCAGGCGUCAUAUUCCUUUUUACCGCGUUUUAAAAUGCACAACAAUGAUAUUCUUACAAAUUUGCAAAAUUUGUCAAUUUCUUAGAUUUCAGAUAUUUUAAUGCUUUUUUUAAUUUUUGAUCUAGUAAAAAUACACAGCCUUCACCGGCAGGAUUCUAGUCUUGGCUUUCACCUCUCUAACUCAUCUGUUCCCAUUGGGAUUCCAGAAAUUGAAAUUUCUGUCUUCAAUGGGUUUUCAAAGCCUCGCCUCUCUUCGAUUUUUGUGGAUCGGGAAUUGCACAAAUCUCACAUCAUUUCCCGAGGUCGAGGAAAAGAGCGGCCCAAACUUGCUCGCAUCCCUUAUUAGGUUAUGAUAGAUGGAAAAUUCAUAUACGAUCCAGAGUCAGAGGUGUUGAUUCUCUUAUUAAGGUCAGCUGAUUUCUAUUAUCCACUCUGACAAUCUCCUAUUCGUGUUUUUCCUUUUUAAAUUUUUUUUCCAAAAUUUUGCAGUUCCGUAUAUUGGUGUUUGUUAAGGUAAUUAGUGCUCCCUCAAUAUUGCAUUUUAGACUGCCAAAUGUAGCAGUAAUUUUAAUACAAUUUUGUUGGUGCCUUGUGUUCCAGAAGCUAGAAAAAUGUGUAGUUUUCAGAUAAGGAGGCUUGUCAGUUCUCUAGUAAGAAUCCAAUGAUUUGCUUUUGCACGUCCAUCUAAUUUGUGGAUCCUUGCAUCAGAAUUUGAUCAAUCCAAAAGGAAUUGCUUUUAGACAGAAGAAGAAUAGCAGCACCUAGCCUACCCGCAAACCUGAAACUAUUAGAUUGAGGUAAAAAAAUCAUUGACCCUCACAUGUUAACUUCUUCUAGUUACUUUCAUUGGGGAAAAAAAAACAUUUAAGGAAUUUGCAAUUUGUUGUUAGUUAUGGUAUCUGAUGUUCUUUUCUGCUUUAGCGUUUGUAGAACCUACUGUAUUAUGUGUUGGCAGUUGCCGUAUCUGAGGUAACUUGCCUUUAUUUGUUUGCUUCUGAGUUAAGGACACCAACAUUUGCCAGAGAUUUAGAGAAUCAUCUCAAAACACUUAGCAAACUUGACAAACUUCAAGAUGCACUUGCCCCCACGCCUUAUUCUCAACAACGCAAAACUUGUGAGUACACCUAUGCCUGCAAUUAUUGUGAAGUGUUCGCAAUUCUGAUGCAGAGAAAUGGUUUCUUGAUGCAAAGUAUUAAACUGUUAAGAUUUAUCCUGCAGGCUUGUUAGAUGUUGUAUACUCGAAAAGCCAACAACAUCAAGAACUACAACUCCAAGACCAACUUUGCGUUAAUUCAGUCAGCUGUAAAAAUGAUGCAAAUGACACUAUAUCAAGCUGGACUUAGAGACUAGUCAGAUCAAUCAUCCAUUUCAUCAACGGUUAAUGUCAUGAUGGUGGCUAUCAGAGGAAACAAAAGAUGUGUCAGAAUCUAUACGAACAUUGAGAAGCAUGAGAGGAGCUUUGAUUUUGAGUAGGGUCAAUGAACUCAUGUUGGUAAGUGGUGAUUAAAGAAAUUUGUAAGCUUAGUAGAGUUUCAGUAUUUUCUGUUUGGAGUAUAGUUGAUAAGUUGACUCUGUUUAAGAAGCCCGAUUAUAGUAGCUGACUGUAUUAACCUUUUUUUUUUUGGUCUGCUGUUGUUUUUGGUUUCGAUUAUUUUUUCAACAUUGGGUUGAUCUGUUGAAGAACAAGCUUGGGUUUGAUUAUGUUUUAACUAUAAGGAAGAGCCAGACUUGGUUGCAGGCGUUAAGCUUUUAAUGGGUAAGAACAAAUGAAUGCUUUAACCAUGUUUCUCACUUAUUAAAAUGCAUGGAUUGAAGGCAUCUGGGUUGAUCCUGACAAUGUGAUGGAAAUACUUCUCUGUUUUCAUGUAACAGGACAAAUAGAGAUCUCUGAUCAUGCCUGAAUUUUUGUUGCAUUGAAAUUUCUACCAUUACCAAACAUAGAAUGAACUGGGGAUACAUUAGCUUAAGACUCAAUUUUGAGAAGGAAGUUUGUACUUGCAGCCUAUAAAAUCAUGUCCGUGUCGUACGUUUCUUUGGGAAAUGAAAGAUUCUGUGUGUUCUUUUAUUUCAAGUUCACUGAAAUCACAUUUGUUUUCUCCGAUGCUUUCCAGAAGGUAACAACAUCAAUUUCAAAAAUGCUGGGGCAAGAUGCAUCAUGCAGUGCGACUCAACUUGAGAAUUCCUGGCCACAUUACCCGUAUGUCGAAUGAUCGCACAGUUCAACCUUGAGAAGCUUGUAAUGAGUACACAACUGGGUGCAAGUAGUUUUGAAAUGAAUUUGCCUCAAAUGAUUUCUUGCUCGCAUCCCUUGGGUUAUGAUAGAUGGAAAAUUCAUAUACGAUCCAGAGUCAGAGGUGUUGAUUCUCUUAUUAAGGUCAGCUGAUUUCUAUUAUCCACUCUGACAAACUCCAAGACCGGGUUUUUUUUUUUUUUAAUUUUGCCGUUCUGUAUAAUUGAAAUGCCACUCACUUGUUUCCUUCUUCACAGGUCCGAUAGUAUGUUGAGGCUAUUUGCUUUUUAUCGGUGUUUGUCAAGGUAAUUAGUGCUGCCUCAUAGGUUGAUUACUCACAGAUGAAAUCAUAACUUUUAUCUUAAAAUUUAAUAGCAUACACAGAUAGAUGAUUUUUAGUCCAAAGUUUUUUUAUUCACUUCAAUCAAAAUUUUAGAUUGCAGAUUUUUGUCAAGUAUUUCAUUACAAUUUUUUCAUUUUUUAUUUUAAACCAGAAUAUGAGUAUAACAUUUUGGAGCGUGCAUACUCUGAUGCAUGCAAUUAACUGUUUUUAAUCAUUGGAUUUUGAAAUUAAUAAUGGUAAGAUGUGUACUUAUUCUGUCUUCCAACAACCUUGGCCUCUUUCUUCGGUCGCAUAUCUAAUGAAUAUUUCUCUGUUUAGUUAAGGAUGAAUGCUUGGAGUGGGGUACUUGGUAACAUUUCUGCCUCAGAUGAAUCCUUGAAGAAAUGCCCGCAGUUCCUGAGACCAAAUACAGGUCUGAUUCAAAACAGCACCUUUCUCAGAAAAUAUGAUCCAAGGCAAAGUCAUGUUCUGAUAAUGUUUCCUUAAGUACAAAGUUGCAAGGAAACUUGAUUCAUUAACUACAGUUUUUUAUUUUUAGGACCUUGUAUCUGAAAGGUUCAGUGUUUUUUUUUUUUCAAAUUUAUUGUUCAGAUCUCAGAGGAGUAUAUGGUUUAGAUUACAAAACACCCAUGAUUAAUUUCAUUUUUUUUUUUUUAUUUCAGGGAGAAGAAGUGGUCAGUUUCAAUCCGGAAUUGGAAUAUGGCAAUUUGGUUCAAGCACACACACCUGGUCACUUGGUCAGUGAACCUGAACUUUACGCAGUUUUUUCAACUCAGUGAUUUUUGGAACGCAUAGUGGUGUAAGGAAAUCAAAAGAAAUUUAUGCAUAGUCAAAUUCUGAUAUUUGCUAUAUAUUAUACAUUCUAAAGUUUCUCCAGUUUGUUCUCAGAUUACCAUCAUUUUUUGCCUUCACCAAAAAAAAAAAAUUGAGUGGCUUUCCAGUGGAUAUUUAAUCGGAGGUAUGACUGGAUUUUUUUCACUUCUGUAAAUCUUGCAUUUUAAACUGGCAAAUUUAACUUUAAUUUUAAUACGACUUUGUUGGUGCCUUGUGCUCCAGAAACUAGAAAGAUGUGUAGUUUUCAGAUAAAGGGGCUUGUAAAUUCUCUAGUAAGAAUCCAAUAAUUUGCUUUUGCACGUUCAUUUUAUUUGUGGAUCCUUGCAUCUGAAUUUAAUCAAUCCAAAAGGAAUUGCUUUUAGACAGAAGAAGAAUAGCAGUACCUAGCCUAUGACAUAGUAUAUGGACCUGCAAACCUGAAACUAUUAGUUUGAGGUAAAAAAUUCAUGACCCUCACAUGUUAACUUUCAUGAAAAACACAUUUAAGAAAUUUGCAAUUUUUUGUUAGUUUCGUAUCCGAUGUUGUUGCAUCACAGUAACUUUAAACCACUGCGACAUUUUUAUAAUAACAGUCUGAGAUCUCCCUGAAGGAUUCAAAGCAUUUUAUUUUAUAUUAAACUCCUUUAUGUGGGUUUCGACACUACCACAAGUUCUUUAAAUACUAAAACGAUUUUAAGUCUUUUGUAUCAUCUUAUUGAAAUAUAUGAAAGCACUCGUGGUUGCAAAAAUACAGUUGGGGCUAUUUCUAAAGUCUUCAACAGCAUUUUCUUUUUAACCUUUAUCCUCAUGGUUGUUUUUGCAGUUGUUCUUUAAGAAAACAUUUAAAAGGUUCUCUUUAUGGAUUUUUGAAAAUAAUUUUAACAUUAGCAAUUUUCAGAAGCACUUUAGAUGUCUGGCAUUUAGAAAAUUUUAUUCCGGUGUCACAUAAAAUACUUAGGAAGUUAAAUUUAUUUAUUUAUGAGCAUGUGCCAGUGCCCUGUGGCAUCCUCUUCACUUGUGAUAGUCAAAUAUAUUAUACGAUACAAUAUUAGCUUGACUGUAGCACAGAGGAGAAUAGGGUUGGUGUUGGUCUGAACCAGCUUAUGUAACAGCUGCCAAAAGGAUAAUUUAAUUGUACUUUGAGUAAAGCUUUUGCGAAUUAAACAAGUGAUAAUUUGUUUCUAUUAAGAAAAACUUAAAGGAUAGGGCUAUUUUAACUCACCAAACUACACAUUAAAAAUCCACUUACAAAAAUAGUUUUUAAUUAUUAAAAUAUUCCUAAAUUAAAUUAUAAUUAUGGACACUAAAAUAUAAUUUUUUUUAUAUUUUACUUUUUGAAACUGUCUUUAUAUUCGAUAUUAUAUUUUUUUUCUUAAACUCUAAAUUGAUAUUUUUUUAUUAAUUUUAAAACACAUAUAAAGUGAUUUAUAUUGAUUUUAUACUAACAAACUAUUAUAGCACAUUCGAAAAAUAAUUAAAUCGUUCUUAUUUACAUAGUGAAAAUGCAAAUAGCUCAUUCAAAUGUUAAGGAAUUGGAGAGCUGCUGCUGGAGAUGAAAGAUGUGAAUUAAACAUCAGAGAAAAAAUUAUGUUCACUAUCUUGCCAGACCAAGCACCGAAGAGCGUCGUAAAGAAAAAUUAGAUAAUUUAGAAGAUAAAGCACGUGGAAUGGAGGCAGAAAGCAAGUAAUGAUAACUCUUUCGACAAACUAAUAUAUACCAAAAUGCAAUAUCGGCCCUAAUAAAAAAUGAAAAUAAAAAUUCAUUACGAAUACUUGUUAAAGAUAUCCCAAGUAUAGAUGUGACUGAAAUAUUUGAGAUUGAAGAAGAAUUAAGACUCAAAAUCAAUUGGGAGGAAUAAAUGAGAAACCCCAAUACCAAAAAAUACACGCACAAAUCCUAAUACUAAUUGUAAUCACGGAUAAAAAGCAUAAUACGAAUAAAUUACAUGGGCAACUAUUCCAUUGAGAAAUUAAUUAAAUCGUGUAUUAAUAUUUUGUAUACAUAUAUUUUUCUAUACAUAACUUUCGGUAAUUUAGUUUUCCACUUAUCAUUUUUACUCCAAAAAAGUAAUUGAGAAUAUUAUUUAUGUUUUGGUACAAAAUAUUUGAACAAUAUACAAAUUUUCAGUUUAAUAAAUCUAAACAUCUAUUAAGUUAUAAAUGAAUUUAAUGGGUUUAAUUAAUAAAAUUACUAUUAUUAUAUAAAUUGGGUUUAGUAAUGGUAUAUUGGGUGGGUUUGUUGAGUAAAUUUUAAAAUUUUGAAAUUUAAGGAUGAAUUUAUUUAGUAAAUGAAUUCAGGGAGUAAUUUGUUGGGAUUCACAUAGCCCCACCAAAUUCAAAUGUAAAAUUUUUGGAAAAAGAAGCUAUUGAGUUAUUCUAAAAAAUAAUUAAAAUGUCAAGAAUACCUUUAUUUAAUUUUAUAAUCUUAUUUUAUAGUCAUAUUUUAUUUCCACCUUAACAUAAUUUUAAAAACCUUAACUAAUAAAUUCUAUAUUUUUUUUUAUAAAAGUUAUCAUUAAUAUCCAAACGGCUACAGAUUUUUUUUUUUUAAAAAAAGGAACUAUGCUUACAAAAGUUGUAUACAUUAACAAUAAAUUUAGUCCAAAGAAUAAAGUUAUUCCAAACAAGCACUCUAAUUCAUCUUGCUAAUGAAUCAAGAUGACUGAAUCCUUCUCUGAGCCAAAUCUAUUUUCACUUUUAGGUCAGAAAUUGUCAUUAAAAAAGUGUUUGAUAAAAUAUGCUCUGGGAACACUAAUUCGUCAGAUGGUUACUCCAAGUUUAUGAAAUCAAUGGGAUUUCAUCAUAUUCAUAACAUUCUUCUUGAAUGUCUAUUCUAACAAAGAAAUCAUAUACAGAGAAUAGGUUUCGUUAAAACUUUUUCUAGAAAAACUAACCACAAUUCAUCAUUCAUUUAUCUCUUAAGUAAGCGUAAGAUUUUAUCAUUAAAAUCCCAUCAUGAAAAAACUCAUGGGAGAAAAACUAUAAAAAUUGAAGAAAAAAGAGUAUGGCGUGCAUGUAAAUUAUAUCGAUUUUAUCUACAUGACAAAUAAGACUCUCUUUUACAAUGGCACGGAUGCUUCAUUGAGUAAUCAUGAUUCUUGCUGGUAGUGCUUUGUUGUAUCAAUCUGCUAGCUAUUCAGCGUUCUUUCUUUCUUUCUUCUUAUUUUUUUGUUUUCAAAUAGCUUGUGGUUGUAGAAAUAUUUCAAUUAAACUAUACUUAAGUACUUAUUUGGUAUAACUUCUUUACUAACCAAAAGAAUUUUUUUUUUUGGUUUUUUAUAAUUUAAUUAUACUUUAACUAGAGUUUUUGGGAUAAAACAAGUGAUAAUUUCUCUCUAUUAAGAAAAACUCAAAGGGUAGGGCUAUCUCAAUCCACCAAACUAUUUAUUAAAAAUCCACUUAUGAAAAUAAUUUUUAAUUAUUAGAAUGCGUUUACAUUAAAUUAUAAUUAUGGACACUAAAAUAUAAUAAAUUUUUUUUUUACUCUUUAAAAUUGUCUUUACAUUUGAUAUCAUAUCUUUUUCUUAAAAUCUAAAUUGAUAUUUUUAUUUUAUUUUUGAUUAAUCUUAGAACACAUAUAAAGUGAUUCAUAUUGAUUUUAUACUAACAAACUAUCACAGCACAUUCGAAAAUAAUUAACUCGUUCUUAUUUGCAUAGUGAAAAAGGCAAAUAGCUCACCCAAAUGUUAAGGAUAUGAAAAGCAUGGUCAAGAAAAAUUGCAUAAUUCUCACUUAGAAGAGAGGUAGCCGCCACCACCACCAGUGAAACUAUUUCACAUAAUAGAAGAUAAAGCACGCGUAAUGGAGGCAAAAAGCAAGUAAUGAUAACUCUUUUCGACGCACUAAUACAUAUCAAAAUGCAAUAUCGGUCCUAACAAAAUGAAAAUAAAAAUUCAUUACGAAUAUGUGUUAAAGAUAUCUCAAGUAUUGAUGUGAUUGAAAUAUUUGAGAUUGAAGUAGAAAUAAGACUCAAAAUUAAUUGAGAGGAAUAAAUGAGAAACUCUAAUACUAAUAAAAUAUAUUCACAAAUCCUAAUGCUAAUUAAAAUCACGGAUUAAAAAAAAUAAUAUGAAUGAAUUACAGGCGCAACUGUUUCAUUAAGAAAUUAAUUAAAUCGUGUAUUAAUAUUUUGUACACAUACAUUUUUCCAUAUAUAACUUUUGGUAAUUUAGUUUUCCACUUAACUUUUGGUGAAAAAAAUAAUUGAGAAUAUUAUUUAUGUUUUGAUGCAAAAUAUUUAAACAACAUAAAAAUUUUCAGUUUAAUAAAUCUAAACAAUUCUCAAGUUAUAAAUGAAUUUAAUGGGUUUAAUUAGAAAAAAUACUAUUAUUUUAUAAAUUGGGUUUAGUAAUGGUAUAUUGGGUAUUUAAAUGGGUUUGUUGAGUAAAUUUUAAAAUUUUAAAGUUCAAGGGUGGGUUUAUUUAGUAAAUGGGUUAAGGCAGCAAUUUUCCAAACUAAAUUUUUGGAAAAAGAGGUUAUUGAGUUUUUUUUUUUAAGAAAAAGAAUUAAAAUGUUGAGAAUACCUUUAUUUAAUUUUAUAAUCUUAUUUUAAAAAAUUUACCCAAUAAAUUUGAUAAUUUUUUAUAAAAAUUAUCAUUAACAUCCAAACAGCUGAAGAUUAAAAAAAAAAAAAAAGAAGGGAACUGUACUAGCAAAAGUUACAUUAACAAUAAAUUUAGUCCAAAGAAUAAAGUUAUAGCUAAAAAGUGCUCCUAUCCUAUUUUUCUCUAUUUUAACAAUAAUCUUCCAAUCCGUUUUACAAUGGACUUUAACAAAUGGGCUCAAUUAACAAGAUUGAUCAAGAAUUAACAAGACAAGAUGAAGAGAUGAUCUUGUAACUAAGAAUGAAGAAAUUACGCACAAAGCAGUAAAUUUGUAAAACCAGAAUUGGAGCUUCACUUCUCAAGAGAGACGAAACAGGAUACAAUCUAGCUUUGGUCAACUUCGUUUGGCCACGUCAUAAAGUCUCCCCACAGUCUUUCCCGCCAAAACAGAAAAGCUUUAAAAGCCAUUUACCUUCCUGAGUUACUUGCUCCUAUUACAUCAAGGCCCUGGAAGUCUAUAUUUAUUAUUACAAAAGCACUCUUAGGGUGCGUUUGGAAUUGAGGUGUUGUAGUUUUUAAGCUACAGCUGUUGUGAAAAAAAACUGUAAUUAUGAAAUAAAAGUUAAUAAUAUAUAGUAAAUAUAAAUUUUAAAUAAUAAUUUUAUCAAAAUUAUUAAAGAUAUAAUAAAUUUUAUAUUAUACAAGUGAAAAAUUAUAUCAACAUAGCUUAAAAGCUACAGCAGUUAAUGUUUACCAAACACUUUAGUGCUGUAGCUUUUAAGCUUCAGCUGCCCAAUCUCAAUCGCAAACGCACCCUUAAACCGAGAUCGAAGCGCAUGAUUUCAUUACAAAGCAUUCGCAAAGAAAUUGUUUUUAAAUGAAACUCCUCGUCUUGACCAGAUUAUUUAUUAUUAUUCAAAAACAAAUGCUCAAAGCUUAGCCAAAGUGAUAAACUCGUAAUUAUUCUACAAAGGGAACAAUUUUGAACGGUGGGAAAUUCCAUAAUUAUGCUUUUCUGUGAAUUAUUUUAAAUAAAAUUAUAAAAACCAAUAUAAAAUUAUUACCCAGUAAAGACUUUAGAGAGACAAAUGUCCCCAACAGGAUCAAGUGAAUAUGCCCCACAAAGAUCACAUGAUCAUUUCUUGUUCUUUUUCUUUUGGACAAUUUUAGACAAUAUAAAAGAAAAAAUAUUAAAUUUUUUUAACCGAAUUAUUUUGACUCAAUUUGGUUCAUAAUUUUUUAAACCAAAUGGAACCCUCAUAACAAAAAACUAACGGAAACAAUAAGAACACGAUGUUAAAAUCUUAAAUCAAUCGCAAAAAAGCACCCAAAACAGAUCGAUUAGGAACAGUUAACAACAAAAGAUUUGAUGGUUCAAAAUCAUAAUGUGACCUACUUCCAUCCAAGAAUUAUACUAAUUUCUUUACUAGUUGUCAAAUACAAGAUCACAAGAUUAUUUAUCACUCUAUAGAGAAAAACUUUUUAGAAGAAAUACUCCCCAAUUUUUCUCUUGAUAGUUAUGAAUCAACACCCCUAGAAAGGCUAUUGAUUUAUUUUUCCUUAUUUCAUAUGAUCGGUUGCUGCAACUUAAUCCUUGCCAAGUUCCAACAUAGUCCAAACAUUUUUCAUGGUACAUGCAUAGUGCACCUUCAGAAACUUUACAGCUCUUCUUAAAACCUCAGUUCUCGUGAUGUUUCUGAUUUAUUUUUGGGACGAGUAACACUUUUGUUGAACCUAGACCAGAUUUAGUAUCCAAUCAAGAAUUUCCAGGAUCUAGCUGAACUCUCUAAUCAAGACCUAAAGAAUAGUUAAUCAAAUCCACACAAAAGAAUCACCCAAAAACAGUAUACAAAGAACAACAAAUAUAAGUGGUUUUGAGAUAAAUGUAAUUGACUUCUGAGCAUGACUUAAUUUUGAGAUCAUUACUUUUAGUUAAAUGAUCUCCUCCAGAGCUUCUACCUAUGUAGUGUUUUUAGACCUCUAUAGUUGAUAAAGCACGUUCAAGGUGAAGGCUUGUUUUCCAAUCUAUAGUCCAAUUAUAGACUGGAAAUGGUCAGGCUUAAUGCACCUUCAAAAGCUUCACAAUUUGUAUUGAAACCUUAAGCCUCAGAAUGCUACAAAUUUUAAAUCCAUAUACUUAGUGCUCUUAUGAUUUGUUUGAUUUUUACUUAGAUGAAGAGCAUUUUAGCUAUAGAAUACAUUGUAACUAAUUCAAAGCAUGCCUUAGCUACGAGAUCAUUCAUUCUAGCCAAAUGCCCCCUUUAGAGAUUCUGCUAUUGUUGUGUAUUCAGCCUCUAUAUUUGGCAAAGCAAUUACAUGUCGAAGGCUUGCUUUCCAGUUAACAGCGCAAUUACAUAGAUUAAAGGUGUAACCAGGCAAAGAACUUAGUUAUUCUGCCAAGGUCUCCAACAUACUCCAAAUCCAUAUAACCACCAGACUUCAAUCUUUAGACUCCAUAGAUCAAACCAUAACUUAGUGUGCCUUUCAAUCUCAGGUAACAUUUUACUGUUUUCCACGUCUUGCCAUGUACUUGCUGCUAACACUAACAAUUUGAGAAAUGUUAGGCAUCGUAAGCAGCCGACAACACUCUUCUUCAUUUCUUCAUUGUCAAUUUCUUUCUUGGAACAUUGCUCCAUUGAGAGUCUGCUAUCAUUGCUCCAAUUAUUAUUAUUUUUGUUUUUUUUUAAAAAAAAAAUAACCGUGCAAUAAGAGUAUAAGACUAAGCAACGGUCCUUUUUUUUUUACCCAUUCUUGAACAUGAAGUAUUUGAGUAUGUAAUAAAAAUUGUUUAUUGAUAAUUAAAAGUUAAUAGUGGGUGGCUUUAGGUUUUGUUUACAAAAUUGACAACAAAUUAAGAUUUUUCAAAUUCAUAGGUAAGAAACUUUUCAUUUAUUCAUAGAUUUUCCGGUUUAAACUUUAAAGGAAACUUAAAAGAAAAAGAUGUAUCAUUAGAUUUGUAAUUAAAAAAAUUUAAUAUUGUAUGAUCUGUUCGAUAUGCAUAAUUUAAAUAAACAUUAAUAUAGAUGUUAUAUAUCCUAAAACUUAAUUGACUUAAUUCUUACGGUGCAAGGAAGACGUUUCCAAGUUUAAAUCUAAUUUGGGGUCGGGAAAGCACUGGGAAAUAAAUGUAACAAAGGAAAAAAGAAAAGAAUGACAGUCUGAGUGGAGCCAACACGGUUUUGAAAAAAGUGCAAAAAAGGGUUUUAGGAUAUACUCUAUUAUCGUUUGUUUGCUUGCUUGUGGAAAUAAAAGUCUCAUGUUUCUUUGAAAGGUAAGCAAGUGUGAAUGUUUCUAUCUAGAGCUGGAAAAUGCAUUUCCGUGCAACUUACUUGAUGAAUGAAGUUUUCACCUCUGACCUUGAUGUUUCCCUGAGCUGCAUUCAUUGCAGCUGAUGUAUUUCAUUUUGUUUUCGAAGGAGUGACACAAAAUCUCCUUUGUUAAGGUGAGAAUUUAGAGUGGCUUUAACUGUUAACAAAUAGCCUAAUGUAAGACUUAAUCAACUUCCUGCCCUGUUGUAUGCUUAUGAAUUUUGAUAGAGUUAUGAGUUUGCAGAAGCUACUGUAUUAUAUGUUGCUAGAGGCUGUAAAAAUGAGGCAGAUCAAACACACAUUUAAAUUUCAGUGACAAUUUACUGGAAGUAAAUUCCUAUGACCCUACAUGUGACUGUGUGGCACCAUCCGCCAUUUGGAAGUGAAUAUCAUUAUUCUUUAAUCAACAUGGUGGAGUCCACGGGGACCACACCACAUGGUCAGUCUUAUCUCUAUUCCUCAAUUUUCAGUAUUCCAUACAUCAAAACAAUUUCAGUUUUGUUAUCAAUUAUAAUUUCAUUGUUGGUGACGAUUCUGAUUCCUUUCUUUCUGACAAAACGGAACCAUGGUUGCUGUGGGAGAGAUCUUACUCAACGCCUUCUUUCAGGUGUUGUUUGACAGGUUGGCUUCCCGUGAUUUGUUCAGCUUUGUCCGUCAACUUGGAGUGGGGGUCGAUUCCGAGCUCAAGAAGUGGGAUAGAAAGCUGAAGAUGAUUCAGGCGGUGCUCAACGAUGCAGAGGAGAAGCAACUGACUGACGAGACUGUGAAGAUGUGGCUGGACGAUCUCCAAGACUUGGCUUAUGACGCUGAGGACAUUCUUGAUGAGUUUGCUACUCAAGCUUUGGAAAGCAAGUUGAUGGCGCAAAAUCAGGAUAGCUCUGGCCAGCUUCUCAGUUUCAUCCCGGCUAGUUUGAAUCCGAAUGCUGCUAGGUUCAAUUAUGGCAUGAGGUCCAAGAUUAACGAUAUUACUAGCCGGUUGGAGCAACUCUGCAAAGAUAGAAUUGAACUUGGGCUGCAACGGAUUCCUGAAGGGGCAUCAUCAACUGCUGCUGCUGCACACCAGAGGCCACCCAGUUCAAGCGUCCCACCAGAACGUGAAGUUUUUGGUAGAGAAGAAGAUAAGGCCAAAAUUCUUGAUAUGGUAUUGGCCGAUAGCCCAAGUGAUCAUGCCAACUUUGUUGUAAUACCCAUUGUUGGCAUGGGCGGGAUAGGAAAAACAACUCUCGCUCGGGAGGUUUACAAUGACAAGGCCGUUGGAGAUUCCAAGUUUGAUGUAAAAGCAUGGGUUUGUGUAUCUGAUGUCUUUGACGUUUUGGGCAUCUCAAAGGCGCUUCUCGAGUCAAUCACCCGCAGGCCAUGUCUUCUAAACAGUUUAAACGAAGUGCAGGUUGAAUUGAAAGUAGCUGUGGAUAAAAAAAGAUUCUUGCUGGUCUUAGAUGAUGUUUGGAACGAGGACUACAGCUUGUGGGUAGACUUAAAAGCUCCGUUCCUGGGUGCUGCACCAAACAGCAAGAUGAUCGUCACCACACGCAAUUCAAGUGUUGCAUCAACAAUGAGACCCAUUGAUCGUCACCACACGCAAUUCAAGUAUUACGAUCUCAAGAGUCUGUUAGAUGAUGAUUGCUGGUCCAUUUUCAUAAACCAUGCAUUUGAAUCUACAGACCUUAGCGCACAUCGAAUUUCAGAAUCAUUCCGCGAGAAAGUUGUUGGCAAGUGUGGGGGCUUGCCUCUGGCAGCAAAAACACUCGGGGGCCUUCUUCGUACUAAAACGCAUGCUGAGUGGGACGGUAUAUUGGAUAGCAAAAUAUGGGAUUUACCUCGGCAAAGCAGCAUUCUCCCCGUGUUAAGAUUGAGUUACCAUCAUCUUCCUUCUCAUUUGAAAAGAUGUUUUGCUUUUUGUGCCAUCUUUCCAAAAGAUUAUGCAUUCACUGAGAGGGAGCUGACUUUCUUAUGGAUGGCUGGAGGUAUUAUUCGACAGUCAAGAAACAAUGAGCAGCUGGAAGAUUUGGGCAGCAAGUGCUUUGGUGAUCUAGUGUCGAGGUCAAUUUUUCAACAAACAGCAAUCUCUGAUAGUUCUAAAUUUGUAAUGCAUACUUGAAAUUUCUGUCUUCAAUAUUUUGAUGCUUUCUUAUCCCAUGCACAAAAGUACUAGAAAAAACUAAUAACAGCUAACCGAAAAUCCCAGGCGUCAUAUUCCUUUUUACCGCGUUUUAAAAUGCACAACAAUGAUAUUCUUACAAAUUUGCAAAAUUUGUCAAUUUCUUAGAUUUCAGAUAUUUUAAUGCUUUUUUUAAUUUUUGAUCUAGUAAAAAUACACAGCCUUCACCGGCAGGAUUCUAGUCUUGGCUUUCACCUCUCUAACUCAUCUGUUCCCAUUGGGAUUCCAGAAAUUGAAAUUUCUGUCUUCAAUGGGUUUUCAAAGCCUCGCCUCUCUUCGAUUUUUGUGGAUCGGGAAUUGCACAAAUCUCACAUCAUUUCCCGAGGUCGAGGAAAAGAGCGGCCCAAACUUGCUCGCAUCCCUUAUUAGGUUAUGAUAGAUGGAAAAUUCAUAUACGAUCCAGAGUCAGAGGUGUUGAUUCUCUUAUUAAGGUCAGCUGAUUUCUAUUAUCCACUCUGACAAUCUCCUAUUCGUGUUUUUCCUUUUUAAAUUUUUUUUCCAAAAUUUUGCAGUUCCGUAUAUUGGUGUUUGUUAAGGUAAUUAGUGCUCCCUCAAUAUUGCAUUUUAGACUGCCAAAUGUAGCAGUAAUUUUAAUACAAUUUUGUUGGUGCCUUGUGUUCCAGAAGCUAGAAAAAUGUGUAGUUUUCAGAUAAGGAGGCUUGUCAGUUCUCUAGUAAGAAUCCAAUGAUUUGCUUUUGCACGUCCAUCUAAUUUGUGGAUCCUUGCAUCAGAAUUUGAUCAAUCCAAAAGGAAUUGCUUUUAGACAGAAGAAGAAUAGCAGCACCUAGCCUACCCGCAAACCUGAAACUAUUAGAUUGAGGUAAAAAAAUCAUUGACCCUCACAUGUUAACUUCUUCUAGUUACUUUCAUUGGGGAAAAAAAAACAUUUAAGGAAUUUGCAAUUUGUUGUUAGUUAUGGUAUCUGAUGUUCUUUUCUGCUUUAGCGUUUGUAGAACCUACUGUAUUAUGUGUUGGCAGUUGCCGUAUCUGAGGUAACUUGCCUUUAUUUGUUUGCUUCUGAGUUAAGGACACCAACAUUUGCCAGAGAUUUAGAGAAUCAUCUCAAAACACUUAGCAAACUUGACAAACUUCAAGAUGCACUUGCCCCCACGCCUUAUUCUCAACAACGCAAAACUUGUGAGUACACCUAUGCCUGCAAUUAUUGUGAAGUGUUCGCAAUUCUGAUGCAGAGAAAUGGUUUCUUGAUGCAAAGUAUUAAACUGUUAAGAUUUAUCCUGCAGGCUUGUUAGAUGUUGUAUACUCGAAAAGCCAACAACAUCAAGAACUACAACUCCAAGACCAACUUUGCGUUAAUUCAGUCAGCUGUAAAAAUGAUGCAAAUGACACUAUAUCAAGCUGGACUUAGAGACUAGUCAGAUCAAUCAUCCAUUUCAUCAACGGUUAAUGUCAUGAUGGUGGCUAUCAGAGGAAACAAAAGAUGUGUCAGAAUCUAUACGAACAUUGAGAAGCAUGAG